CCCGUGCGCAGCAACGGAGACCCAAUGUAGCCAAAAAUAAAUAAAUUAAAAAAAAAAAAAAAAGACUGAGUGACAGCAUCCGAAGAAGCCUGGCAUUGAGAGAGACCCUUGGUUCCUGGGGAACUGACAAUACUUCAGCCUUUCUAUCUGGAGCCUGGAGGGAGCAAUGGGGGAGAAGGAGGAAGUGUGGUGAGUUCUAUGAAUCUUCCCAGGGCUGAGUUGGCCAUUUGUAAGCUGAAUCAGUCACCGUUUCCUACUUCUUAGUCCUUCCUUCCUCCUUCCUUCUUUCCAGCCUCUCUCCCUCCUUUGCUCCUUUCCCUCUUCUUUUUAGGUGCAGUCCUUUAUUAGAGCAGAAAACUCCUAAACCACUUGUAUCCUACUUGCAGGAAUUGGAAACACUGGAAAGGAACAAAAAGCUUCAGAGCAGGCAAAGGAACAAAGAAGUACAAGGAGAUGUACGCCAACACUUCACAUGUUGGUGCCACCCGACACAACCUCUCAAUUAGCAGAUGCCACAGAUGAGGUCCUGGGAGUGGGACCCUCAUGACGGGAUUAGUGCCUUUAUAAGAAGAGACACCAGAGAGCUUGCUUGCUCACUCUCUGCCAUCUGUGGACACAGGGAGAAGACAGCCAUUUGCGAGCCAGGAAGAGAGCUCUCCGCAGUACAUGAACAUGCUGGCACCUUAUCUUGGACUUCCAGGCUCCAGAACUGUGACAAAAUUAAUUUCGGUUUUUUAAGCUACCCAGUCUAUGAUAUUUUGUUACGGCAGCCCGGCCUAAGGAAGGCAUCAAUAACAUUCACAGAAAUAAACUUCUAAAAGUUUUUACAAU